rnacentral:rRNA from 1 species
UAGAGUUUGAUCCUGGCUCAGGAUGAACGCUGGCGGUCUGCUUAACACAUGCAAGUCGAACGCAACCUUCGGGUUGAGUGGCGGACGGGUGAGUAACGCGUGAGAAUCUGCCUUGGGGUCGGGGACAACCACUGGAAACGGUGGCUAAUACCGGAUAAGCCUUUGGGUAAAAGAUUUAUUGCCCCAAGAGGAGCUCGCGUCUGACUAGCUAGUUGGUGAGGUAAAAGCUCACCAAGGCAGCGAUCAGUAGCUGGUCUGAGAGGACGAUCAGCCACACUGGGACUGAGACACGGCCCAGACUCCUACGGGAGGCAGCAGUGGGGAAUUUUCCGCAAUGGGCGAAAGCCUGACGGAGCAAGACCGCGUGAGGGAGGAAGGCUCUUGGGUUGUAAACCUCUUUUCUCAGGGAAGAAGCUCUGACGGUACCUGAGGAAUCAGCCUCGGCUAACUCCGUGCCAGCAGCCGCGGUAAUACGGAGGAGGCAAGCGUUAUCCGGAAUUAUUGGGCGUAAAGCGUCCGCAGGUGGCGAUUCAAGUCUGCUGUCAAAGCACGGGGCUUAACUCCGUUAAGGCAGUGGAAACUGAAUAGCUAGAGUGCCGUAGGGGUAGAGGGAAUUCCCGGUGUAGCGGUGAAAUGCGUAGAGAUCGGGAAGAACAUCGGUGGCGAAAGCGCUCUACUGGACGGCAACUGACACUCAGGGACGAAAGCUAGGGGAGCGAAUGGGAUUAGAUACCCCAGUAGUCCUAGCUGUAAACGAUGGAUACUAGGUGUAGCUUGUAUCGACCCGAGCUGUGCCGAAGCUAACGCGUUAAGUAUCCCGCCUGGGGAGUACGCACGCAA